AAGACUGUGCUUCAUAGGAUCAUUUCUAUAGGCCAGUUUUCAUCUCUUGUUGACCGAACCUUGAGUUCGUUCUACCCACGAUGAUGAGGUCAAGUGUUUACCCCGGAGCGUGAAACUGUCGGAUCUCGGCUGCGUCUCUGACGUGUCGAUCUGUACUUGAUGAUCGUAUCUUACAACGGGGGUCAAACACAGUCUGAGUGGA